GACAGAGGGUGCAAACGUUGUUCGGAAUUACUGGGCGUAAAGCGUGUGUAGGUGGUCCGCUAAGUCGGGUGUGAAAGCCCUGGGCUCAACCCAGGAAGUGCACUCGAAACUGGCGGGCUAGAGUAUCGGAGAGGUUGGUGGAAUUCUCGGUGUAGAGGUGAAAUUCGUAGAUAUCGAGAGGAACACCGGUGGCGAAGGCGGCCAACUGGACGAAUACUGACGCUGAGACGCGAAAGCGUGGGGAGCAAACAGG
rnacentral:rRNA from 1 species